rnacentral:lncRNA from 1 species
UCUCUCUCUCUCUCUCUCUCUCUCUCUCUCUCUCUCUCUCUCUCUCUCUCUCUCUCUCUCUCUCUCUCUCUCUCUCUCUCUCUCUCUCUCUCUCUCUCUCUCUCUCUCUCUCUCUCUCUCUCAUGAGUAGGUGAGCCAGACGCGUGUCGGUCACCCAGCCAAGACAACGCCAUACCAAUAGACUGUUCAUGCAUGCCAUUCAUUGUCGCAGUGUGUCACGUCGCGUCGCCAGGCGUAAAUUCUUCAGGCCGAGGUGUGACGGCAUCAAGCGUGCAUCAUUCUUGACACAGACACAACAGAUCCAGUGGUCGAAAACGGAAGUGGUGAAUCAUAGUAAGUAAAUUGUCUCAUGUAAUUGGCAGCGUUUGCCCGAACAAAGGGAGAACUUAGGCCUGGCCAUGAGCGAGGUGAUCCUUGUGUACCUUGCCUCAUUACUCCGCACACAUUAUCGCAUCUUUGUAUUCAUACUUCUUAAAGUUGAGCUGUUUAUAUAUUUUUUUAUGUGAAUAAUCCUGAUAAACUCCCAACGUCCUACAUUCCCUCCCUUCCCCCUCCCCCCUCCCCGGGCCGCCGCGCCAGUGCCCACGGUCUUGCUGGUGCCGUCGGCCGUGUGUCUCGCUGCGUCGCCUCGCCGCCGCCACUGUCACUGCUGCUGCUGCUUCAGUUCAUUCUCCUCUAGGCUCUCCAAGGCCCCGCGAAGGAGCCUACACUCCCUCAAUUAAUGCUGCAGCGACAUUCGAUCCUGCGGCAGAAAACAACAUAAUCAAUAUGGAUUCCAUUUAGCUAUUAGGGAACCGUAAAUAACACUUGAGGAUGGCACGUAGCACUGCCACUGCGGGGCCCCACCUGGAGCGUGCACAUCCCUGGCGCCAGACACACUGCACCAAGCACCGCGCUGCGCCCCACUACCGGGAACACCACUCGUCCUGCAACACUAAACAACACGUUGUUAAUAGAAAGAGUAAGAUAUUUCUAAUGCUCUUAUUUUCUUUUCAUUUAAUUUUUGCCACUGGAAAUUAGUGGAGACGAAGCGUUCACACAAACACCAGCACCAGGGAUGUGCAGCGCUACCAGCAUCGUCAUCAUCAUUACCACUCGUAUGUAAAUGACAGACAUUUGUAUAGUCAUCUAAAAACUUGGAUGGAGCCCCGGCAGCCAGAAGCCAUGCCAGCUUCAGUCACCCUGGAGCCCGCUGGCCCAGGUGUGUCGUUGUGGUGGUCUGUGUGGCCUAGAUUAUGAUUAUGUGGUUCAGGUGAUCUUCAUGGUGCAGGUGGUAUUUGUGGUUCUUGUGGCUCAGGUGGUUCUUGUAGGCUACGUGGCGUCCGAAGUUCAGUAAACCUGGACUCCCAGAGUUAAGGAUCAGCCAGAGGCACUCGACGAGCCUUGAGCCUUCCUGCACUCACCUAGUAUUGCUCUUUCCUUAGGCUGAGUCUCUGCUUUGGUUUAGCUCCAUUCUCUCUUCCUUGUUAUGAAAACAUGACCCAAACGUGCCCCAUCAAUGAUUCAGUUUCCAAAUGUCAGGCUCGUGGAAAAGUAUCAUUCUUGUACUUGACUCUAAAGAACACAUUACUUGAACAUUCUGUAGUUAGUAAUUUGUUAUUCAGGCAAUGCCUAAUUUUUCUAAAUCCAGGGUGUCUGCCAGUCUUUGUGAAGUGAAAAGGAAAAUAUCCAAAUCGAAUGCGGCUCAGGCAAAUAUAUUACAACUCCUUUCUGUGAAAAGUUCAAAUUUUAUUACUUAGCACAAUACGAGGAGGUGCAGGUGGUGUCACGGCGAGGCUGCCACUCUCACCAUUCUUUCAGCAGGUGCAGGACGUCGCUGCCUCGCCGACAUCGUUCCUCUCGGCGUCCAGGACUUCGUGGCUUCGUUCGUCAUUAUAUAUAUUUUUUUUCUUUUUGUAUCGCUGUAAAUUUAAAUGUCCUGUCCAUUUAGGAGGUUUAGGCAAUUUUUUUCCUUAGCGCUCACUUAGUAUUUAAGGCGAAAUUGGAUAGGUCUUUUUUAAUAAGAUAUUGGACUUAGAGUUGUAGACUGACUGGUGGUAUAAGGGCGAGUCCCGCUGACUGUACAAGAGUAAUUAAUGUAGCAGCAGGAUGUGUGGCGUGAAUGAUAAGUUAAUUCUCUCUCUCUCUCUCUCUCUCUCUCUCUCUCUCUCUCUCUCUCUCUCUCUCUCUCUCUCUCUCUCUCUCUCUCUCUCUCUCUCUCUCUCUCUCUGUGUGUGUGUGUGUGUGUGUGUGUGUGUGUGUGUGUGUGUGUGUGUGUGUGUGUGUGUGUGUGUGUGUGUGUGUGUGUGUGUGUUCAUAAUUGUUUCAAGUGGCACUUGUAAUAUACGUCGGCAGUUAGGCAAUGAACAAAAAUCUUGUA